AAGCGAUAAGAACUAUUAUAAGAGAAACGUUUUACAAUUACUGAAUUACGAGUACCAUAACUAGUAACAAUUAACAAAUGACAAAAUUACGCCCAUUUAAAUCGUAAAAUCCAUGCAAAAUGUUAGAGAAAAUGUCAAAUCCUUCAUCUCUCUGCACAGGCGGCCCAAUCUCAGAAUGAAUGAUCAGGUGUUGCGGGUUUUUAACGGUUUUUAUAAACAAAUUUAUAGUCAACCAAAGCUAUUUUAAAAACAUUCUUAAAUUAGUCAAAUAAAUACAUUUCAACAAUAAAAUAUAGUUGACAUGAUAGUAUAAUACCUUUGUAUUCUUUUAAUUACUCCAUGAGCUCAUUUAGAGCGGUUGAUGUAACAUUUUCUGUGAUCUACAUUGUGUGUGCUCAUCUAUAUAUAAUAUAACAGUAAAAGGCUAAUCACUGGUGGCAAGACCGCAUAGUAAAUAACUUCUUUGGGUACGUAUAAUGUAUAAUAUAAUUCAAAUUUUGUAAACCAGGGGGCGGGGGUGGUGUCUUUUCCAACAAACUACAAAUGGCUUGCACACGAGAUUUAAAAGCUUUAAUCGUAUUUUGAGUUAAUGGGUAAAAAUGUGCUGGGUGUUUAAUUGCUGCACGAAAUUUCAGAGAAUUUGCUUCAGUUUCACGCAAACUUACAUUUUUUCCUAAAAAAUCAGCCUUUGCAUGCUUACCACAAUCUUCAACAACCCACGCUUUAAUCAACCUUAUUCACCAUUGGUUAAAAGCCACCGACGGCACGAGCUCAGAUGUGCGAGUGCUGAUUAUGGACUAUAAGAAAGCUUUCGAUCUGAUCGAUCAUUCUCUGCUCAUCACGAAAUUAAAAGAUUAUGGUAUCAAUCCCUAUAUCAUCAAUUGGAUAUGCGAUUUCCUGAUGGACAGACAACAAAGGGUAAAAAUUGCAAAUGAUAUAUACUCGGAAUGGAAAGAUGUAGUGGCCGGCGUUCCGCAGGGCACUAAAUUAGGGCCAUGGCUAUUUUUAAUAAUGAUCAGCGACUUAGAAAUAUCCGGCGCUGAUGGAAACGUAAUAUAUGUUGACGAUACAACCUCGUUCGAUAUUGUGGAAAAAGAUAAAUCAAGUUCAAUGCAACUAAUGGCCGAUGAGGCAUCCCCUUGGUCUAACGACAAUAUGUUCCAAAUCCAACCGAAAAAAUGUAAGGAAUUGAGAAUAUCUUUCGAAAAAACCCUGGAACAUAUGAAAAUAUUACCAUUAAUGGAAACACAAUAGACGUUGUUAGAUCUGUCAAAGUUCUAGGAGUUACAUUGCAGAUUAAUUUAAAGUGGAAUGAGCACAUCAACAUGCAACAUCGUCAAAAAGGCGUACAAAAGACUCUAUUUUCUGUCAUAACUGAAAAGGGAAAAAGUACCAUCUAACGACUUAGUUAACUUUUACGUGACAUGUAUCCGUUCACUGUUACUAUAUUCUCGCCAAGUUUUCCAUUUUAACCUCCCCGAGUUUUUAAACAUUUAUAUGCUGGAACGAAUUCAGGAACGAGCGUUGACUGAUCAUAUAUGGUUACGAUGUACCGUAUUCUGAAGCGUUGGUACUGUGUCGAAACUGCAUAAACUCUCCGAUCAUCGAUGCAUCGUAGUGUGUCAUCUUUGUGAAUUGUGAUGAACCCAAAUGAUAAACUUCAUGGGCUUCUGCCUUAUAACCUGAGCGUAAUUUCCGUGUUAAGGCCAAUAUUACGAUACGCAACGAAUGGUAAAAAUGUUUUAACCAUCGGUAAAUACGAAUACCGAUUCGUCACCUGCAGUGCCAAAGGAAACAUGAAUUUAAA
rnacentral:lncRNA from 1 species